rnacentral:rRNA from 1 species
UACGAAGGGGGCUAGCGUUGUUCGGAAUCACUGGGCGUAAAGCGCACGCAGGCGGAUUGAUAAGUCAGGGGUGAAAUCCCGGGGCUCAACCUCGGAAUUGCCUUUGAUACUGUCUGUCUUGAGUCCGGGAGAGGUGAGUGGAAUUCCUAGUGUAGAGGUGAAAUUCGUAGAUAUCUGGAGGAACACCGGUGGCGAAGGCGGCAUCCUGGACCGAGAUCGACGCUGAGGCGCGAAAGCUAGGGGAGCAAACGGG